rnacentral:tRNA from 1 species
GGGCCCGUAGAAGUAACUGGCAACUUCGCUAGGAUCGUCACCCUGCGUUGCGGGUUCAAAUCCCGUCGGGUCCC